CGAGAAGUAAAAAACAAUGUUAUCACCCUAUUCAAAGGGUUGAAAGAGUCUUAUUUGGAGUUGUGUGGGGUUGAAUAAUUAUGUUUGUAAUAUUUUAGAAGUUGGCAGAAAAAGAAAAGAAAAAUAGAAAAAGAAAAUAGAAAAAAAAUGAAUGAAAAAAAUAGAAGGAUGUCAAUACAUGUCAAUACAUACUCCUUCUAAAAAAGAAAAAAAAAGAAUAAAAAGAGAAAGUAGAAGAGAAAACAAUUGUUAUAGAGUUGUUGAAUUAAAUGAAAUCUUUUGUAAAUUCAACUCCCGCAGUUUCUUUCAAGUCUCUUUUAUCUAUUUGAAUUUUAG
rnacentral:lncRNA from 1 species